rnacentral:rRNA from 1 species
UACGGAGGGUGCAAGCGUUAAUCGGAAUUACUGGGCGUAAAGCGUGCGCAGGCGGUUUGUUAAGUCCGUUGUGAAAGCCCCGAGCUCAACUUGGGAAUUGCAGUGGAUACUGGCAGGCUGGAGUACGGUAGAGGAAGGUGGAAUUCCCGGUGUAGCAGUGAAAUGCGUAGAUAUCAGGAGGAACACCGGUGGAGAAGGCGGGUCUGUGGGCCGUUACUGACGCUGAGGAGCGAAAGCGUGGGGAGCGAACAGG